rnacentral:rRNA from 1 species
UACGUAGGGUGCAAGCGUUAAUCGGAAUUACUGGGCGUAAAGCGUGCGCAGGCGGUUAUAUAAGUCAGAUGUGAAAUCCCUGGGCUCAACCUAGGAACUGCAUUUGAGACUGUAUGGCUAGAGUACGGUAGAGGGGGAUGGAAUUCCGCGUGUAGCAGUGAAAUGCGUAGAUAUGCGGAGGAACACCGAUGGCGAAGGCAAUCCCCUGGACCUGUACUGACGCUCAUGCACGAAAGCGUGGGGAGCAAACAGG